GAGAUUGCUUCGGUAAUUGACCUAGCGGCGGACGGGUGAGUAAUACUUAGGAAUCUGCCUAUUAAUGGGGGACAACAUCUCGAAAGGGAUGCUAAUACCGCAUACGCCCUACGGGGGAAAGCAGGGGAUCACUUGUGACCUUGCGUUAAUAGAUGAGCCUAAGUCGGAUUAGCUAGUUGGUGGGGUAAAGGCCUACCAAGGCGACGAUCUGUAGCGGGUCUGAGAGGAUGAUCCGCCACACUGGGACUGAGACACGGCCCAGACUCCUACGGGAGGCAGCAGUGGGGAAUAUUGGACAAUGGGGGGAACCCUGAUCCAGCCAUGCCGCGUGUGUGAAGAAGGCCUUAUGGUUGUAAAGCACUUUAAGCGAGGAGGAGGCUCUUUUGGUUAAUACCCAAGAUGAGUGGACGUUACUCGCAGAAUAAGCACCGGCUAACUCUGUGCCAGCAGCCGCGGUAAUACAGAGGGUGCGAGCGUUAAUCGGAUUUACUGGGCGUAAAGCGUGCGUAGGCGGCUUUUUAAGUCGGUUGUGAAAUCCCCGAGCUUAACUUGGGAAUUGCAUUCGAUACUGGGAAGCUAGAGUAUGGGAGAGGAUGGUAGAAUUCCAGGUGUAGCGGUGAAAUGCGUAGAGAUCUGGAGGAAUACCGAUGGCGAAGGCAGCCAUCUGGCCUAAUACUGACGCUGAGGUACGAAAGCAUGGGGAGCAAACAGGAUUAGAUACCCUGGUAGUCCAUGCCGUAAACGAUGUCUACUGGCCGUUGGGGUCUUUGAGACUUUAGUGGCGCAGCUAACGCGAUAAGUAGACCGCCUGGGGAGUACGGUCGCAAGACUAAAACUCAAAUGAAUUGACGG
rnacentral:rRNA from 1 species